GAGGGUAUAGCUCAGUGGUAGAGUGUAUGCUUAGCAUGCAUGAGGUCCUGGGUUCAAUCCCCAGUACCUCUA
rnacentral:tRNA from 1 species